UUAACGACUACUGCCUCCGAUUUCCGAGGAAAACCGAAGAAUCCCGACUGACUCCGAAGCGACGAAAUUUUUAAAAAUUUGGAAAAAAUCGGAAAAAAUCAGAAAAAAAUAGAAAAAAAUUAGAAAACGAUCAGGAAUUAAUCCAGGAGGAUAUAAAAUCAUGAGGCGCAUCGAAGGACUCGUGGAGAUGUGCUCAUUGAAUAAAUAAUUCAAAAAUGGAGAAAAAACCGAUUAAAUACUGGGAAAAACCUUAACAUGAAUUUAAGAUAAAGUGACAUUGCCUGCAUAUUAUUGGACCCUAGCAGGACAUAGAUGGGAUCCUGUUAUUGAUUAAAAAUAAUUUUUUCAAUUAUAUUUCUUCAGGUGUUUGCCAAGAAAUGAAUUACGACAACACACGGUGAACAUGGGGUGAAUCAACUAUGCCAUUCGAACUUGAUACAACCUGACUUUGUCACUCAUUGGGAAGACGAGAUCCCUGGGUCCCUCUGAACAUAAUUUGAACAAUAAUACGCUGCGGUGAUGUAGUUGUUUUGAUCAUAGCAUGACCGGUGCUGCUGAUUCAUUUUUCCUAGGAGGAAUUAUCGUAGCUUUGCUUUAGGACGCCGAUCAACGCCUGGAGGCUACAGAGAUAGAGGUCAAGAGACAACGUCGACAACACCGGAAGACUUGACAAGGUUAUCCAAGUGUCAGGAAGGAUGUUCUUCUUCAUGAUGAUAUCGUUCCAAUUUCAACAUCGACGGUAAUAGAAUGCCAUAGAGCCGGACUGAAGCAUGCAGCGUUCAACUUUAUGCGGCCUGAAUACCAAACGCAAAUCCAUGCCAACUGUAGCAAAAAAAUUGAAGCGAUCGUGAGGAAGGCUCCAAAGACAAAGGAUCCUGAAGCUGAGAAUGAGCCAUUGACACCUUGUCCUUAUUGCAAAAAUAAAUUACCUGAGACGAAAGUCAUGUGUGACAAAUGCAAGAGCACCAUACCUUUUUUCAUUGCUACGGGUCGUCACCUUCUCAAAGAAGACUUUACAGCUUGUCCACAAUAUGAGUUUCCCAAAAUCGCAACUGAGUUCCUGCGAAUCAUCGAAAGUGAAGAAGUUUGUCCAAUGUGUACGGAACAUGUGGAUCCAAAUAUGGUGUCAUCGAGCAUCGGCAUUCAUUCAUUCCUCGAUGCACAAGAUACCAAUGUUAAAAAGGUUUAGAGUUUGUUCCAAACAAAGUGCGCUUACAUCUAGAAUAACUGUGCGAAUUGUGAAAAUACCAUUCCUGAUCCACAGCGACUCGUCGCAUAGCCUAUCAAAAAGGCAAGACUCAGCUAUUAUUAUACAGUUGUAACUUGAUGCCAUAGCUCACUAUUUUUCCAUAAAUCAUACCUUAGUCUUAGACCAAAAAGUUAGUACAUGGUAGGGAGUACAAUCUAUGGCAUACACGGUCUAGAUAUCCUGAACAGAUGCUGAUCUAUCGAAUCGAAGAUAAUACAUAGUAAUAAUUAUUAAAUUCCAGUCAAGCUUCCCUUUGAUAAUUUUUGAUAACGAAAACCUGAUAUAUUCAGCCAUCGAGCAGAAGAAUCGUGUCAUUCAAUCGUCGGGUGUUUAUACUUGGUGACUCUCAGAAAACUUUGCUCAAUUCUCAUGAUGAGUAUCUCCGAGGAGGAUACCUUGACAAUUAAAGUUGAAAUGCAAAGAUCAGUUUACCUAUAACAUAUUGUAAAAAAUUAGGCGAGCACGUUUGACGUUAGGUAUAGCUGAAUUUGUUGAUUGAAUUAAGUGAUUUGUCAAAUUAAUCAAGUUGCCGCUAGUUCGGUACUUAGAAUAGCUAAUAAAUUUGAUUAUCUCGAUUACUUUCGGUUGUAAUUCAAUUUCAGAGUGUCAGAAUGAUGUUUUGAUGCUCAAAAAAUACAGAAGAAUACUACACAGUUCAAUUUUUGUGUUUGCCAAGAAAUGAAUUACGACAACACACGGUGAACAUGGGGUGAAUCAACUAUGCCAUUCAAACUUGAUACAAACUGACUUUGUCACUCAUUGGAAAGACGAGAUCCCUGGGUCCUUCUGAACAUAAUUUGAACAAUAAUACGCUGCGGUGAUGUAGUUGUUUCGAUCAUAGCAUGACCGGUUCUGCUGAUUCAUUUUUCCUAGGAGGAAUUAUCGUAGGACGCCGAUCGACGCCUGGAGGCUACAGAGGUAGAGGACAAGAGACAACGUCGACAACACCGGAAGACCUGACAAGGUUAUCCAAGUGUCAGGAAGGAUGUUCUUCUUCAUGAUGAUAUCGUUCCAAUUUCAACAUCGACGGUAAUAGAAUGCCAUAGAGCCGGACUGAAGCAUGCAGCGUUCAACUUUAUGCGGCCUGAAUACCAAACGCAAAUCCAUGCCAACUGUAGCAA